rnacentral:rRNA from 1 species
GACGAACGCUGGCGGCGUGCUUAACACAUGCAAGUCGAACGGAAAGGCCCUGCUUUUGUGGGGUGCUCGAGUGGCGAACGGGUGAGUAACACGUGAGUAACCUGCCCUUGACUUUGGGAUAUCUUCAGGAAACUGGGGCUAAUACCGGAUAGGAGCUCCUGCUGCAUGGUGGGGGUUGGAAAGUUUCGGCGGUUGGGGAUGGACUCGCGGCUUAUCAGCUUGUUGGUGGGGUAGUGGCUUACCAAGGCUUUGACGGGUAGCCGGCCUGAGAGGGUGACCGGCCACAUUGGGACUGAGGUACGGCCCAGACUCCUACGGGAGGCAGCAGUGGGGAAUAUUGCACAAUGGGCGGAAGCCUGAUGCAGCAACGCCGCGUGCGGGAUGACGGCCUUCGGGUUGUAAACCGCUUUCGCCUGUGACGAAGCGUGAGUGACGGUAAUGGGUAAAGAAGCACCGGCUAACUACGUG